rnacentral:rRNA from 1 species
GCAAGUCGAGCGCGCCUUCGGGCGAGCGGCGGACGGGUUAGUAACGCGUGGGAACGUGCCCAGAUCUACGGAAUAGCCACUGGAAACGGUGAGUAAUACCGUAUACGCCCUUUGGGGAAAGAUUUAUCGGAUUUGGAUCGGCCCGCGUUAGAUUAGGUAGUUGGUAGGGUAACGGCCUACCAAGCCUACGAUCUAUAGCUGGUUUUAGAGGAUGAUC